AAUGACAAACUUAAUUUUGCCACAAUUUCUGCUGCUAUAAACCUUAUAACCAAAUUAGAAUUAGUAUUAUGAUUAAAUGUCAAAUGCAAUACAUAUUAUUAAAUAUAAACAUUAUUUGCAUAGACUUGGAGUGACUGGAAGGCAAACAUUAAAAGUAAAGCCUCACAAAUAAAAAAAUCAUCAUUUCAAACAGGAGGUGGGCCUUCACUUAAUCAAAAAUUAACUGAAGUUGAAGAGAGAGUUUUAAAUUUAAUUGGUAUAACUGCUGUUUACGGAGAAUCCCAAAUUGAUGAGGCAGGAGUUCAGGAACCAAAUGGUGCACAAGAGUUGAGUGAAAGUGCACAAGACUUAUUAAACUGUAUGAUUGACAAUACUAUUUCUUGUGUACAAUCAAAUAAUUCUACUUGUAUAAAUGAAGAAUAUCCAUCUAAUCAAAAUACAUAUUUCGAACUGCCUCCAAAUGAUGAUUGCAAUCCAACUGAUUGUAACCCAACUGAUGGUCUACAUUUGAAUACUUCAUUAAGAAAUGUUAACAG